rnacentral:rRNA from 1 species
UACCUGGUUGAUCCUGCCAGUAGUCAUAUGCUUGUCUCAAAGAUUAAGCCAUGCAUGUGUAAGUAUGCCAAAUUCAGACUGUGAAACUGCGAAUGGCUCAUUAAAUCAGUUAUAGUUUGUUUGAUGGUAUCUACUACUCGGAUAACCGUAGUAAUUCUAGA